rnacentral:ncRNA from 2 species
ACCUAAGGUAGAGGUGCUGUACUUAAUAGUACUAAUAUAUAGCUGGCGAGCAAUUAUAUGUUGGGAAAGGAAUUAUGGCCGAAGGUAAUUUAUAGGCAUAUGAAUUAUCUGGACUUAUGCAAAAUAUGUAUAAGGCUGUCACUUUUAUUCGUAGAAGCAAAUAUAACAAUAGACCUGUUUUCACGUCUGUUGGUUAUAUGAGCAAAACGGAUUUUUCUAUAAGUGUUGAGCUACAAGGUUU